ensembl:lncRNA
GAACCUGCAUCAUCAUGGACACUGUAUGGGGUUCUUGACCUGCUGGGCCACAGCAGGAGCGCCUGGGGUACCUUUUGUAAUGGCACUGGUCCCAUUCAUGAGGUCCCACCCUCAUGACCUAAUUCUCUCCCAAAGGCCCCACUGCCCAGUACCGUCAUCCUGAGAGGUAAGAUUUCCACAUACACAUUUUGAAGGGACAGAAACAUCCAGUCCCCGGCACAAGGGUAUUUAGGUUUUCGCUUAUGUCAUCUUCUAGAAGGCUUGUGGGUUUGUAUUUUACUUUAGGUAUCUGUGAUCUGUUUUGAGUUAAUUAUUAAGAGUGUAAGAUCUGUGUAUAGAUUCAGUUUUUUUUUUUUUGCAUUUGAUGUCCAGUUGUUCCAGUACCAUUUGUUAGGAGGACUUCUCCGCUUCAGUGUACUGCUUUAGCUCUGUUGUCAGAGGCCAGUUGAUUGUGUUUGUACGGGUCUGUUGGGGGCUUUCUGGUCUCUUCCAUUGAUCUGUUUGUCUUUUCUCUCAUCAGUACCAGUAAGUGGAAUGAUGCCCAUCCUCUGACUUUGUUCUUUUCCUUUAAUAUUGAGUUGGCUAUUUUGGGUCCUUUAUCUCUCCAUAUACUUUAUAAACUUUAGAAUCAGUUUAUCAAUAGCCACGAAAUAACUUCCUAGAGUUUUGACUGGGAUUUAUCAUAUUUUGUCUCUUUUUUUUUUGGCUGUGCCCGUGGCUUGUGGAAGUUCCCUGGCUAGGGAUCAAACCCAUGCCACAGCAGCCACCUGAGCCGCUGCGUGACAGUGUUGGGUCCUUAACCCACUGCACCACAAGGGAACUUCCUUGAUUAGGAUUUAAUUAGAAUUGUUCCUGAUCUUAGUGGGAAAACUUUGAGUCUCUCAUCCUUGAGUAUGAUUGCUGUAGGGUUUUUGUAGAUGUUAUCAGGUUGAGGAAAUGCCCCUCUAUUUUAAGUUUGCUGAUUAAUUUUUAUCAUGAGUGGGUGCUGGAUUAUCAUUAUUUAUUUAUUUAUUUAUUUAUUUUUUUAGGGCUGCACUUGGGGCACGUGGAGUUUCCCAGGCUAGGGAUUGAAUCGGAGCUGUAGCCACUGGCCUACGCCAGAGCCACAGCAACGCCGGAUCUGAGCUGUAUCUGCAAUCGACACCACAGGUCACGGCAAUGCUGGAUCCUUAACCCACUGAGUGAGGCCAGGGAUCAAACCGGCAACCUUAUGGUUCCUAGUCGGGUUCGUUUGUGCCGCGGCAUGACGCGAACUCCAGGUGCUGGGAUUUAUCAGAUGCUUCUCCUGCAUGGAUCAAUAUGAUUUUUCUUUAGUCCGUUGAAGGCAUAAGCAUCCCAUUAAUUGACUUUUGAACGUCAGACCAGCCUUGCAUACCCGGGGUAAAUCCCAUUUGGUUUGUAAUUCUUUUUAUACCUGUUGGAUUCAAUUUGCUAAUAUAUUUUUGAGGAAUUUUGCGUCUGUUUUUAUGGGAGGUAUUGACCUUUAGUUUUCUCGUAAAGCUUGUCUCAGAAUGAGUUAGGCAGUAACCCUUCUCUCUCUUGAUAGAGAUUAUAGAGAUUGUUAGAGUUUUUUCUUUCCUGUUUGGUAGAAUUCACCCAUUUGAGCAUGGUGCUUUCUUUCUUUCUUUUUUUUUUUUUGGUCUUUUUGCCAUUUCUUGGGCCGCUCCCAUGGCAUAUGGAGGUUCCCAGGCUAGGGGUCGAAUCGGAGCUGUAGCUGCCAGCCUACGCCAGAGCCACAGCAACGCAGGAUCCGAGCCGAGUCUGCAAUCUACACCACAGCUCACGGCAACGCCGGAUCGUUAACCCACUGAGCGAGGCCAGGGAUCGAACCCGCAACCUCAUGGUUCCUAGUCGAAUUCGUUAACCACUGCGCCACGACAGGAACUCCAGUUUAUUGAUUUUAGAUCUUUCUUUUCUAAUAUAUGCUUUCAAUACUAUACCUUUUUCUCUAAGUACUGUUUUUGCUGUAUCCCCUAAAUUUCAGUAAGUUGUAAUUUCAUUUUGUCCAAACAUUUAAAAAAUUCUCUUUUUUUCUUCUUUGAGUCAUGUGUUAUUUAGAAGUGUGAUGUUUAAUUUUGCAGUACUUAGGGUUUUUCUUUCUUUCUUUCUUUCUUUUUUUUUUUGUCUUUUUGCUAUUUCUUGGGCUGCUCCCGCGGCAUAUGGAGGUUCCCAGGCUAGGGGUCUAAUCGGAGCUGUAGUCUCUGGCCUACGCCAGAGCCAUAGCAACUCGGGAUCCGAGCCGCAUCUGCAACCUACACCACAGCUCACGGCAAUGCCGGAUCGUUAACCCACUGAGCAAGGGCAGGGACCGAACCCGCCACCUCGUGGUUCCUAGUCGGAUUCGUUAACCACUGCGCCACAACGGGAACUCCUACUUAGGGGUUUUCUAGCUGUCUUUCUGUUACUAAUUUCUACUUUAAUUGCAUUGUGGUUUAAGGGCAGACAUUGGAUGAUUUCUGUUCUUUUAAAUUUGUUAAGGUGCGUUUCGUAGAAUGUGGCCUAUCUUGGUGAACGUUCUACAUGAGUUUGAGAAGAAUGUGUGAUAGGCUGUUGUUGGGCGAAGUAGUCCAGGCAUGUCGAUUACAUAGCAUUGAUUGAUGGCCCUGUUGAGUUCCGUUGUGUCUUCACUGAUUUUCUGCCUGCUGGAUUUGUCCAUUUUGUAUAGAGGAGGAUUGAAGACCUGAGUUAUUGUAGUGAAUUUAUCUAUUUCUCCUUGCUGUUUUAUCCAGUUUUGACUCAUGAAUUGUAAUGCUGUUGUGAGAUGCAUAACAUUAAGGAUUGUUAGGUCUUUUUGGAGUAUUGACAACCCCCCCUUUCCCUUUGUAAUAACUUUUUUUUCCCUUUUUUUGGUUUUUAGGGCUGCACCCGCAGCAUAUGGAAGUUCCCAGGCUCAGGGUCAAAUCAGGGCUACAGUUGCCAGUCUACACCACAGCCAUAGCAAUGUGGGAUCGGAGCCACAUCCACGACCUACACCACAGCUCGUGGCAAUGCUGGAUCCUUAACCCCCUGAGCAAGGCCACGGAUGGAACCCGCAUCCUUGUGGGUACUAAUCAGGUUCAUUACUGCUGAGCCACAAAGGCAAUUCCGCUCCCACUUUGUUUUAUUAGUGUUAGUAAGUGUAAUUCCAUCCCUUUACUUUUUUUAUUAUUAUUAGAGUAUAGUUGACUUACAAUGUUGAGCCAACUUCUGCUGUAUGUCCCUUUGCUAUUAACCUAUACGUGUCCCUGUGUUUAAAGUGGGUUUCUUGUAGGAAAUAUAUCAUAUGCCUGUGUGUAGGUUUUUGUUCUUGUUUUUGUUUCGCAUUUAUCCAGCUUGGUGUUCUUUGAGAGUUCUGGAUCUGUGGUUUGGUACAUGACCUUUUGGAGAACAUUCUCAGUCAUUAUUUCUUCAAAUGCUUUUUCUUUUUUUCCCCGUUUCCUUCUGGCAUUCCUAUUGCAUAUACGUUAUGCCUUUGGUAGUUGCCCCAUAGUUCUUGAUAUUCUGCUCCCUGCCCCUGCUCCCCCCACCCCAGUUUUUUUUCUCUUUGUGUUUCCACUUUGGAAGUUCGUAGGGUCUCAUCUUCAUGCUCAGUUUCUUUCCUCAGCUGUGUCCAGUCUGCCAAUGAGCUUAUCGAAGGCAGUCUUCAGUCUUUCUUUCUUUCUUUUGAAUUUAAUUUUAUUGGAGUUUAGCUGACUUACACUGUUGUAUUGGAAGGUAUUCUUCAUUUCCAUUACAGUGUUUCAGUCUCUAGCAUUUUUUUCUUUUUGCUUCCUAGGAUUUUUAUCUUUUUACAUUAUUCGUCUGUUACUGCAUGAAGUCAGCCUUUUUUGUUAAAGCUUUUAGCUUGUUCAUCAUGAUUCAGAAAAUUCCUGGUCUGAUAAUUCCAACAUUUCUGACAUAUGUGACUGAUGCUGGUGCCUGUUCAGUUCUUCACUUUAGUAAUCUGUUUUUGAAAGACAGACGUAGUCACUGGUCAAAGGAGCUGUGAAGAAUAGGCCUUUAGAGCUGCAGUGGUGAUGUGGGGGAGUGCUCUGUGGUCCUGUGACACGGUCUCCGUCUCUGGGUGAGCCCGCACCCCUGAACUGUGACCUUUACCAGUGCUUCUCUGCUUUGUUCCUUUCGUAGGUGGGACAGGAUGGCUAGAGUGGCCUGGAGUUGUGUACUUCCCUUCCUCAUGCGGAAGGUUAGAGGGGCUGGAGUUGGAUAUUUCCCUUCCUCCAGGUAGGUUAGGUUCUGGUAAAACCCCAGCGGGUUAGGUUUUGGUAAAAUAGGUGGUUUUUUGUUUUUUCUUUCUUUUUUUUCUUUUUUGGCCGCCCCAUGGCAUAUGGAGUUCCCAGGCCGGGGAUCUGAUCCGAGCCACAGUUGCAGCCUAUGGCGCAGCCGUGGCAACACUGGAUCCUUAACCCACUGAGAUACUGUGCUGGGUGGGGGAUUGAACCUGCAUCCCAGAGCUCCAGAGAUACCACUGAUCCUGUUAUGCCGCAGCAGGAACUCCAAAAUAGUAUUUUUGAAGGCCAGCUUUGUUAAGAACAGAAUGUCCAGGUAUAUUUCAGAACUGUUCCUUUUCCCUCCCAGAAACAAGAGAGGAGGGGAGAAGUCUCUCCACUUACUACUGAAGGACACUUGUGUAGCUUCCACGUACUGGCAGUUAUGGAUGAAGCUGCUGUAAACCUCUGUGUGCAGGUUUUUGUGUGGACAUAAGUUUUCAACUCCUUUGGGUAAAUACCAGCAACAUUGUUGGGUUGUAUGGUAAGGAUUGUAGGGUAGUUUUGUAAGAAACUGCUAAGCUGUCUUCCAGCUGCCUCUGGCUGUUUGCGCUUCCAGCAGGAAAUGAGAGUUCCUGCUGCCCCACAUCCUCACCAGCAUUUGGUGUCAGUGUUUUGGACUUUGGUCGUUCUUCUGGUGUGUAGUGGUAUCACGUGGUUUUAAUUUGCAUUUCUCUGACGACAUGAUGAUGUGGAGCAGUUUUCAUAUGAUCACGUCAUUUUUAAUCACUGUAUUUCAUGAGGUAGACCAAAGCACCUUGGUGCAGAUACAGCCAUUAUUAUUUCAAUUCCAUACAUUUGUGGAUGGCCUGGAAUGUUUAUCCUGUGGUGGUCCCCGCAGUGUGCUGUGACUUCUGUAUUUAGACAUUUCUCUUUUUUCUGUUAUAAACUCUUGGGUCAGUGUCAUGUAUGAGACUUUCGGCUUAGGAUAAACACCUUAGGAUGCACUCACUAGAGCAGAGUGAGCCAAAGAAUGUAUAGAUUUUAACAUCCUUUCAUAUCCAUGACCAGAGAAAUCACCCAGUUUAUACUUCUGUCAGCAGUUCCAGCCAGUUUUAUAUUAAUACAUAUUUAAAAUCUUUUUUUAUCAAGGGAGAGUUUUAACACAGAGACAUAGAAUAAUGUAAUGACCCCUCUGGUACUCAGCUCCAACAGUCAUACACCAAGGCCAGUCCUGUCCUACUUGCUCCUUCAGUGCCCACUUCUCUCCUGUGUUGUCACAAAAUAGUAGCUCCACUGAACUGAGAUAGAAAUGCAGAAAAGUACGCAUGUCAUGAAUGGGUUUUCACAGUCUGACACUCCCUGGCUAGUCAGUGCCCCAGGUAUCACCUUUGUCUGCUUUCAGUCACACGCACUUUGCCUGCGGCAACCAGAAGCGUGAUAUCUGACUGCCUGGACUAUUUCUGCCCAGUUUUGUUUUCCUUUGACAUGUAGAAUCUUAUGGUAUGUUCACUUGGGUCUAGUUUUUCUCUUGGCAUUGUGUUUGAGAGUAUCCACGUGCUUGCAGUUGUUAAUUCUUUAUUUUUGUUGUAUAUGAAAAUUUAAUGUAUGAAAAUAUUUAUUCUGUUAUUGCUGGACGUUUGGAUAGUGCCCCUUUGGGGGCCAUUACAAAUAGUGCUGCUCUGAGCAUUCAGAGUUUGUGUCUUUUGAGGCGGGAGGGUCCAGAUGGCAGAGGAGUAAGACGUGGCGUUCACCUUCUCCCACAAAAACAUUGGAAAAAACCCAUCUGCAUGUAGAGUGAUGUGCACAGAACAUCUACUGAACGCUGGCAGAAGACCAAAGUUUGUGCCUUUCGGUGAACAUAUGUUUGCCUUUCUGUCGAGGAUAAACCUGGAAGUGAAAUUGCUAGGUCACCGGGGUGCAUGUAUUCAGUUUUGGAAAACUGUGGCUGUACCUACUAAAGUGGGGUCAUUUAGUUAUCCUCUCCCCGCCCCCGCCCCCUUUUUGAUUGCACCCAUGGCAUGUGGAAGUUCCCAGGCUGGGGAUCACACCUGAGCUACAGCAACGACUAGAGCUGCAGCAGUGCUGGCUCCUUAACCUGCUGAGCCACAAGGUAACUCCUGGUUAUCCUUUUUUAAUGAGUAAUAUUUGAGUCUCUUGUUCUUUCUUCUGUUGCAUUAUCUGUUCUUACUGUAUUAGCUCUUUGUUGCUAUAUAAUAAUAAUUAUCCCCAAACAUAGUGGCUUAUGACAACAGUAAACAUUAUCUCACAGUUUUUGUGGGUUAAGAACUUGGGAGCAGCUUGGCUGGGCCAUUCUGGCUUGGGUGUCACCAGCCUUCUGAAGACUUGACUGCAGCUGAGGGCCCUUCCCAAGCGGCUGGCUCACAGGCCUGGCAGGUUAGUCCUGGCUGUUCCUUUUCUGGUCGGCCUUCGUCAGAGUGUCCUGUCCUUGGGACGGGGUGACUGACUUUCCCCAGCACAGAGAUUUGAGAGAAAGAACACCAAGUGGAAACUGUCACACACACCCCCCCUUUUGGGCUGCCCCAUGGCAGAUGGAGUUCCCAGGCUAGGGAUCAGAUCCGAACCACAAUUGGGACCUACUACGAAAGAGCUGUGGCAACCCCAGGCCCUUAACCCACUCUGCCAGGCUGGGGAUUGAACCUGUGGCCUGGCGCUACGGAGAGACUGCCGAUCCUGUUGCGCCACAGCGGGAUCUCUGAAGCUAUCAUUUUUAUGACACAGCCUCAAAAGUCUCGGGGUGUUUAAUUUUGCCGUGGUCUGUUAGAAGAGAGUCACUUAAAUCAGCCCAGCUUGGGGAGUUAAGUUUUUUGAAACGAAUGUCAAAGAAUUUGUGGACAUUCUUUCUUUUUCAGCUGUGCCCACAGAAUGUGAGAGUUAUGGGGCCAGGGACUGAAUCCAAGCCAGAGCUCCGACCUGCACCACAGCUGCAGCCAUGCAGGAUCCUUAACCCGCUGUGCAGGGCUGGGGAUUGAACUGCUUCCCCCACCCAGUGACAGGCUGCAUCAUUAACUCACUGUGCCACAGCAGGAACUCCAAAGUUGUUAGAUAUAUUUUCUUUUUUUUUGUCUUUUUAGGCCCAUACCUGCAAAAUAUGGAAGCUCUCAGGCUAGGGGUCAAAUAGGAGCUGCAGCUGCUGGCUUAUACCACAGCCACAGCAGUGCGGGAUCUGAGCCGCUUCUGUGACCUACACCACAGCUCAUGGCAACACCGGAUCCUUAGCCCACUGAGGGAGGCCAGGGAUGGAACCUGAGUCCUCACGGAUACUAGUCAGGUUCAUUACCGCUGAGCCACAGUGGGAAUUCCAUAUAUUUAAAAAAAUUUUUUUUUCCCAUUUUUUAAAGUUUUAUUUUUGUGUAGAUGGUUUACAGUGUUGCGAUAGUCUCUGCUGUGCAGCAGAGGGAUUCAGUCAUGCCUGUACCACAUCCGUUCUUUUGCAGGUUCUUUUCCCAGGUAGGUUAUCACAGAGUACUGGGCGGAGUUUCCCUGUUGGCCAGUCGUUCCGUUCCGUGCACCCCAGGUACCUGCUAAUCCCAAGCCCUUAGCGUGGAUGUAUUUGCAAACGCGACACAUUGGUAGGGUUUCUUUCCUACCAGGAUUUCAUUCUGGAUGAGAAUCUUUGGGAGACAGAAGCAUCAUGAAUAUCUUUGCUUACUCCAUGGGCCGUCAUUAGUCUUUUGAGGAAGAGGAGUUAGUGUAAUUCACUGGAUUAGUUUCUCCUUCAUCCCUAGCCCUUUCUCAUUACUUUGAAGAAAAUCCAAAAACAGUCAUUUUGCUUCUUCUGUAUGUCAGUAUAGAUCUUUCAAAGAUAAAACCUUUUUUUUUUUUUUGGUUUUAACCAUAACAUAAUCACAAAACUGUAAUAAUCUAACAAACCCUACCACACAGUACUUGUUUAAUAUUAUCCAAUACCUGAUUGGAGGUGAAUAUCCAUUUGUCUCAAUACAAUUUUUAUGUACUAUUUUUUUCUAUUUUGGCAAAUCAGGCUCCAAAUAAGUGUAACAAUUCAGACAAUCUACAGAUUCCCCAGUCAUCACUCUUCCACAACCCCUUUGCCAUCUGUUUGUCAAAGACCUGGAAUUUUUGUUUUGUGGUAUCCCCACUGUCCUCUGUUGUGUACACAGCUAAGUUUCUUCUUUGGGCCGGGAACUCUCUUGCCAUCUCACUGGUGUUUCUUCUUUGGUUGUGAUCUGUCUCUGGAGGUUGAAUGUGGACCCAAAUUGAAAUUUUUAAAAAGGAAAAAAAAAAGCCUCUAAACACAGUUGAGAUUCAAAUGUAUAAAACCAAUUAAGGCCACCUCUACGCUUUAAACACAGGUGCCCAGCUGUUAGUAAACAUUUUUCCUUGUAUAUCUCGCAAGCACAUUAAAUUUAUUAUCUCCUAGAUCAGACUCCUCCUGUCAAACACCAACCACCAACCACACCUUUUCCUCAGCAAGUCCUCCCUGUGCCGGAAAAGGCACGUCCCAGCUGUAAAAGACGAAGGUCACUGCAGAGGCAUAGGUUCAGUUCCCAGCCCAGUGCAUUGGUUUAAAGGAUCUAGAGUUGCUCUAACUCCGGGUCAGUCCCUGGCCCAGAAACUUCCGCAUGCCAUGGGUGCGGCCACAAAAUAAAUUAAAAAAAAAAAAAAAAAAAAAAAA